CUGACGGAGCAACGCCGCGUGAGGGACGAAGGCCUCUGGGCUGUAAACCUCUUUUCUCAAGGAAGAAGACAUGACGGUACUUGAGGAAUAAGCCACGGCUAAUUCCGUGCCAGCAGCCGCGGUAAU
rnacentral:rRNA from 1 species